AUUGAACGCUGGCGGCAGGCCUAACACAUGCAAGUCGAACGGCAGCGGGGGAUAGCUUGCUAUCCUGCCGGCGAGUGGCGGACGGGUGAGUAAUGCAUGGGGAGCUGCCCAGUCGAGGGGGAUAACAACUGGAAACGGUUGCUAAUACCGCAUACGCCCUAAGGGGGAAAGGUGGGGAACUUCGGUCCUACCGCGAUUGGAUGCGCCCAUGUGGGAUUAGGUAGUUGGUGAGGUAACGGCUCACCAAGGCGACGAUCUCUAGCUGGUCUGAGAGGAUGACCAGCCACACUGGAACUGAGACACGGUCCAGACUCCUACGGGAGGCAGCAGUGGGGAAUAUUGCACAAUGGGGGAAACCCUGAUGCAGCCAUGCCGCGUGUGUGAAGAAGGCCUUCGGGUUGUAAAGCACUUUCAGUCAGGAGGAAGGGGUGAUGGCUAAUAUCCAUCAUCAUUGACGUUACUGACAGAAGAAGCACCGGCUAACUCCGUGCCAGCAGCCGCAGUAA
rnacentral:rRNA from 1 species